UGACCGAACCGCAAGGGGAGGCAAUCACAUGGCAGAAGUCAGCAGAGGGNAUAGUAGUCGGUGGAAACGAGCCGGGCCUCUCAAAAAACGGGAGAAGUAUACCCGGAGGACUCACCCCGAUGAAGGCC
rnacentral:ncRNA from 1 species